GUUCUUUCUCUUGAAGAUUCAAGUGAACCAGGGCAGGAGAAUGACAUCAGACUGGGCUUGUGCCUGAUAGUUCAUUUCUGAAGUGCUUCAAGAUUGAUGCAUCAGAUUUGCACAAUGUGCCACUUUAGGAGAUUAUUUCUUCCUUCCUUCGGCCAGACAGAAGACUGCAGUAGGCAUGACUUUGAAGAACCUGAAGAUGUGAAAAUGAAAUGGAUACUGUGCUCCUUUUGGCUAGGAUUGGGCAAUAACAGAGAAAUAGAGGCCACCAUCUGUGUGAAUACUUCACUGUGAUUAUCUCUCACCAUCAUCAAAUAGUUCAGAGCACUGAUCCUCACGAGUUGGACAUUUCCCCAUGAAACAGUAGCCUUCUGAGUUCUUGCAAGGAAAUCCAUUGACCCUGAACUGGUCCUUAGGACAAGCAGGCGAGUGGCCAGUGCACAUCUCAGGAAAAUCACAUUCAUCUUUCACCGGUCUGCAUAUGGACCCUGCUUUUUUUAUCUGUUGAGGAAAAAAAAGAGACUAAAUCCUGGAUACAUUUAGGGAUCCAGUACAUACCCUGCCUACCCCUUACCCACUUCGAAUUGGGAACCCCUGCUUAUAAUGAAGAAAUCUCCAGUCCCAAUAAAUCAGAUUCCUGCAUAUGAACUGGAGAAAAAUACCCUUGCUUUCACUGCUGGAGGGAACUGCAUAGAGAUAUUCUCUCAUUCAGCCAUUCAAUAUGAAUUUAAUU